rnacentral:rRNA from 1 species
UACGUAGGGUGCAAGCGUUGUCCGGAAUUAUUGGGCGUAAAGAGCUCGUAGGCGGUUUUGUUGCGUCGGCUGUGAAAUCCCGAGGCUCAACCUCGGGUCUGCAGUCGAUACGAGCAAACUAGAGUGUUGCAGGGGGAGACUGGAAUUCCUGGUGUAGCGGUGGAAUGCGCAGAUAUCAGGGAGGGAAACACCCGGGUGGCGAAAGGCGGGGUCUCUGGGGCAGUAACUG